CCCUUAGAUGUUCUGGGCUGCACGCGCGCUACACUGAUGCGUUCAACGAGUUUAUGACCUUGCCCGAUAGGGUUGGGUAAUCUUUUUAAAUCGCAUCGUGAUGGGGAUAGAUUAUUGCAAUUAUUAAUCUUCAACGAGGAAUUCCUAGUAAACGCAAGUCAUCAACUUGCAUUGAUUACGUCCCUGCCCUUUGUACACACCGCCCGUCGCACCUACCGAUUGAAUGGUCCGGUGAAGCCUCCGGAUUGGCGCGCACCUCGGUGCCGCCGAGAAGUUGGCUAAACCUUACCAUUUAGAGGAAGGUGAAGUCGUAACA
rnacentral:rRNA from 1 species